GGGUUGUGAGGUUAAGCGACUAAGCGUACACGGUGGAUGCCCUGGCAGUCAGAGGCGAUGAAGGACGUGCUAAUCUGCGAUAAGCGUCGGUAAGGUGAUAUGAACCGUUAUAACCGGCGAUUUCCGAAUGGGGAAACCCAGUGUGUUUCGACACACUAUCAUUAACUGAAUCCAUAGGUUAAUGAGGCGAACCGGGGGAACUGAAACAUCUAAGUACCCCGAGGAAAAGAAAUCAACCGAGAUUCCCCCAGUAGCGGCGAGCGAACGGGGAGGAGCCCAGAGCCUGAAUCAGUGUGUGUGUUAGUGGAAGCGUCUGGAAAGGCGCGCGAUACAGGGUGACAGCCCCGUACACAAAAAUGCACAUGCUGUGAGCUCGAUGAGUAGGGCGGGACACGUGGUAUCCUGUCUGAAUAUGGGGGGACCAUCCUCCAAGGCUAAAUACUCCUGACUGACCGAUAGUGAACCAGUACCGUGAGGGAAAGGCGAAAAGAACCCCGGCGAGGGGAGUGAAAAAGAACCUGAAACCGUGUACGUACAAGCAGUGGGAGCCUCUUUUAUGGGGUGACUGCGUACCUUUUGUAUAAUGGGUCAGCGACUUAUAUUCUGUAGCAAGGUUAACCGAAUAGGGGAGCCGAAGGGAAACCGAGUCUUAACUGGGCGUUAAGUUGCAGGGUAUAGACCCGAAACCCGGUGAUCUAGCCAUGGGCAGGUUGAAGGUUGGGUAACACUAACUGGAGGACCGAACCGACUAAUGUUGAAAAAUUAGCGGAUGACUUGUGGCUGGGGGUGAAAGGCCAAUCAAACCGGGAGAUAGCUGGUUCUCCCCGAAAGCUAUUUAGGUAGCGCCUCGUGAAUUCAUCUCCGGGGGUAGAGCACUGUUUCGGCAAGGGGGUCAUCCCGACUUACCAACCCGAUGCAAACUGCGAAUACCGGAGAAUGUUAUCACGGGAGACACACGGCGGGUGCUAACGUCCGUCGUGAAGAGGGAAACAACCCAGACCGCCAGCUAAGGUCCCAAAGUCAUGGUUAAGUGGGAAACGAUGUGGGAAGGCCCAGACAGCCAGGAUGUUGGCUUAGAAGCAGCCAUCAUUUAAAGAAAGCGUAAUAGCUCACUGGUCGAGUCGGCCUGCGCGGAAGAUGUAACGGGGCUAAACCAUGCACCGAAGCUGCGGCAGCGACGCUGAUGCGUUGUUGGGUAGGGGAGCGUUCUGUAAGCCUGCGAAGGUGUGCUGUGAGGCAUGCUGGAGGUAUCAGAAGUGCGAAUGCUGACAUAAGUAACGAUAAAGCGGGUGAAAAGCCCGCUCGCCGGAAGACCAAGGGUUCCUGUCCAACGUUAAUCGGGGCAGGGUGAGUCGACCCCUAAGGCGAGGCCGAAAGGCGUAGUCGAUGGGAAACAGGUUAAUAUUCCUGUACUUGGUGUUACUGCGAAGGGGGGACGGAGAAGGCUAUGUUGGCCGGGCGACGGUUGUCCCGGUUUAAGCGUGUAGGCUGGUUUUCCAGGCAAAUCCGGAAAAUCAAGGCUGAGGCGUGAUGACGAGGCACUACGGUGCUGAAGCAACAAAUGCCCUGCUUCCAGGAAAAGCCUCUAAGCAUCAGGUAACAUCAAAUCGUACCCCAAACCGACACAGGUGGUCAGGUAGAGAAUACCAAGGCGCUUGAGAGAACUCGGGUGAAGGAACUAGGCAAAAUGGUGCCGUAACUUCGGGAGAAGGCACGCUGAUAUGUAGGUGAAGUCCCUCGCGGAUGGAGCUGAAAUCAGUCGAAGAUACCAGCUGGCUGCAACUGUUUAUUAAAAACACAGCACUGUGCAAACACGAAAGUGGACGUAUACGGUGUGACGCCUGCCCGGUGCCGGAAGGUUAAUUGAUGGGGUCAGCGCAAGCGAAGCUCUUGAUCGAAGCCCCGGUAAACGGCGGCCGUAACUAUAACGGUCCUAAGGUAGCGAAAUUCCUUGUCGGGUAAGUUCCGACCUGCACGAAUGGCGUAAUGAUGGCCAGGCUGUCUCCACCCGAGACUCAGUGAAAUUGAACUCGCUGUGAAGAUGCAGUGUACCCGCGGCAAGACGGAAAGACCCCGUGAACCUUUACUAUAGCUUGACACUGAACAUUGAGCCUUGAUGUGUAGGAUAGGUGGGAGGCUUUGAAGUGUGGACGCCAGUCUGCAUGGAGCCGACCUUGAAAUACCACCCUUUAAUGUUUGAUGUUCUAACGUGGACCCGUAAUCCGGGUUGCGGACAGUGUCUGGUGGGUAGUUUGACUGGGGCGGUCUCCUCCUAAAGAGUAACGGAGGAGCACGAAGGUUGGCUAAUCCUGGUCGGACAUCAGGAGGUUAGUGCAAUGGCAUAAGCCAGCUUGACUGCGAGCGUGACGGCGCGAGCAGGUGCGAAAGCAGGUCAUAGUGAUCCGGUGGUUCUGAAUGGAAGGGCCAUCGCUCAACGGAUAAAAGGUACUCCGGGGAUAACAGGCUGAUACCGCCCAAGAGUUCAUAUCGACGGCGGUGUUUGGCACCUCGAUGUCGGCUCAUCACAUCCUGGGGCUGAAGUAGGUCCCAAGGGUAUGGCUGUUCGCCAUUUAAAGUGGUACGCGAGCUGGGUUUAGAACGUCGUGAGACAGUUCGGUCCCUAUCUGCCGUGGGCGCUGGAGAAUUGAGGGGGGCUGCUCCUAGUACGAGAGGACCGGAGUGGACGCAUCACUGGUGUUCGGGUUGUCAUGCCAAUGGCACUGCCCGGUAGCUAAAUGCGGAAGAGAUAAGUGCUGAAAGCAUCUAAGCACGAAACUUGCCCCGAGAUGAGUUCUCCCUGACUCCUUGAGAGUCCUGAAGGAACGUUGAAGACGACGACGUUGAUAGGCCGGGUGUGUAAGCGCAGCGAUGCGUUGAGCUAACCGGUACUAAUGAACCGUGAGGCUUAACCUUACAACGCCGAAG
rnacentral:rRNA from 1 species